CACGUAGGCACCAAGCGUUGUCCGGAUUUAUUGGGCGUAAAGAGCUCGUAGGCGGUUCAGUAAGUCGGGUGUGAAAACUUUGGGCUUAACCCAAAGCGUGCAUCCGAUACUGCUGUGACUUGAGUUCGGUAGGGGAGCAGGGAAUUCCUAGUGUAGCGGUGAAAUGCGCAGAUAUUAGGAGGAACACCGGUGGCGAAGGCGGCUCACUGGACCGUAUCUGACGCUGAGGUGCGAAAGCUAGGGUAGCAAACGGG
rnacentral:rRNA from 1 species